rfam:Bacteroidales bacterium WCE2008 genome assembly, contig: Ga0070252_13
GGGAGGAUACCAAAGUGGCCAACUGGGGCAGACUGUAAAUCUGCUGGUUUUUACCUUCGGGGGUUCAAAUCCCUCUCCUCCCA